rnacentral:rRNA from 1 species
GACAGAGGUGCCGAGCGUUAGGCGGAAUCACUGGGCUUAAAGCGUGUGUAGGCGGAUCCGUAAGUACCUUGUGAAAUCCCACGGCUCAACCGUGGAACUGCUGGGUAUACUGCGGGUCUUGAGCCACCUAGGGGCGAGCGGAACAAGUGGUGGAGCGGUGAAAUGCGUAGAUAUCACUUGGAACGCCAAUGGUGAAAACAGCUCGCUGGGGGUGUGCUGACGCUGAGACACGAAAGCCAGGGGAGCAAACGGG